rnacentral:rRNA from 1 species
CAGCCGCCGCGGUAAUACGUAGGGUGCAAGCGUUAAUCGGAAUUACUGGGCGUAAAGCGUGCGCAGGCGGUUUUGUAAGACAGAGGUGAAAUCCCCGGGCUCAACCUGGGAACUGCCUUUGUGACUGCAAGGCUAGAGUACGGCAGAGGGGGAUGGAAUUCCGCGUGUAGCAGUGAAAUGCGUAGAUAUGCGGAGGAACACCGAUGGCGAAGGCAAUCCCCUGGGCCUGUACUGACGCUCAUGCACGAAAGCGUGGGGAGCAAACAGGAUUAGAUACCCCAGUAGUCCCUGUCUCUUAUAC